UACGAAGGGGGCUAGCGUUGUUCGGAAUUACUGGGCGUAAAGCGCACGUAGGCGGAUAUUUAAGUCAGGGGUGAAAUCCCAGAGCUCAACUCUGGAACUGCCUUUGAUACUGGGUAUCUGGAGUAUGGAAGAGGUAAGUGGAAUUCCGAGUGUAGAGGUGAAAUUCGUAGAUAUUCGGAGGAACACCAGUGGCGAAGGCGGACUUACUGGUCCUUACGUGAUGCUGAGGUGCGAAAGCGUGGGAG
rnacentral:rRNA from 1 species